rnacentral:lncRNA from 1 species
AGUUCAAAUCCUAUUUGACUUCAUUCAAAAUUUAGGCCAAAACUAAUUAAAUCUUAAACCCUAAACAAAUCCUAAUAAAAUCCUAAAUCCUAAAUCAAACUCUAAAAAAAUCCUAAACAAAACCCUAACUAAAUCUUAUAUCCUAAAUCAAAUCCUAAAUCCUAAACCAAAUCCUAACCAAAUCCUAAAUCCUAAACCAAAUUCUAAAUCCUAACCAAAUCCUAAAUCAAACUCUAACCAAAUCCUAAACAAAUCCUAAAUCCUAACUAAACCCUAAACCAAACUCUAACCAAAUCCUAAAAUAACCCUAAAUUAAAUCCUAAAUCCUAAAUCAAACCCUAUCUAAACCUUAAAUCCUAAACCAAAUCCUAAACCC